GAGANACGCUGGCGGCGUGCCUAACACAUGCAAGUCGAACGGGGUUACGAGAGCUUGCUCUUGUAACUUAGUGGCGAACGGGUGAGUAACGCGUGAGGAACCUACCUCUCAGUGGGGGACAACAGUUGGAAACGACUGCUAAUACCGCAUAAUGUAGCGAGACCGCAUGGUUAUGCUACCAAAGCUUUAUGUGCUGAGAGAUGGCCUCGCGUCUGAUUAGCUAGUUGGCGGGGUAACGGCCCACCAAGGCGACGAUGCGUAGCCGACCUGAGAGGGUGAUCGGCCACAUUGGGACUGAGACACGGCCCAGACUCCUACGGGAGGCAGCAGUGGGGAAUAUUGCACAAUGGGGGAAACCCUGAUGCAGCAACGCCGCGUGAGUGAUGACGGCCUUCGGGUUGUAAAGCUCUGUCUUCAGGGACGAUAAUGACGGUACCUGAGGAGGAAGCCACGGCUAACUACGUG
rnacentral:rRNA from 1 species